GAUUAAAACUCAAAGGAAUUGACGGGGACCCGCACAAGCGGUGGAUGAUGUGGAUUAAUUCGAUGCAACGCGAAAAACCUUACCUACCCUUGACAUGGUCGGAAUCCUGAAGAGAUUCGGGAGUGCUCGAAAGAGAACCGGCGCACAGGUGCUGCAUGGYUGUCGUCAGCUCGUGUCGUGAGAUGUUGGGUUAAGUCCCGCAACGAGCGCAACCCUUGUCCUUAGUUGCUACGCAAGAKCACUCUAAGGAGACUGCCGGUGACAAACCGGAGGAAGGUGGGGAUGACGUCMAGUCCUCAUGGCCCUUAUGGGUAGGGCUUCACACGUCAUACAAUGGUCGGAACAGAGGGUUGCCAACCCGCGAGGGGGAGCUAAUCCCAGAAAACCGAUCGUAGUCCGGAUUGCACUCUGCAACUCGAGUGCAUGAAGCUGGAAUCGCUAGUAAUCGCGGAUCAGCAUGCCGCGGUGAAUACGUUCCCCGGGUCUUGUACACACCCGCCCGUCACACCAUGGGAGUGGGUUUUUACCAGAAGUGGCUAGUCUAACCGCAAGGAGGACG
rnacentral:rRNA from 1 species